AUUUAAAAGGAGUCCAAGCCCCGAAUUGAGAACUGAUUAAUAAGUGAUCUUUGAUUGUGGAAUAGGCUAUUAAAACAUUCCAGCAGAAGCUUUUGUCCUUUUUCCCCACUCCAAUCGUGAUCUCCUAACAUUCCCCUUGCAAACACUAUUUUUGGAAUAAUUUAAAUCAUUAUUCAUGAUCUAAGAAUGUGUUGAAUGCUAUGACCAAUGUUCAAUCAAUUGUAUAAUCCCGUUGUAUAACUGGUGUUUCAGUAAAAGAGAAUUUUCAGAUAAAAGUGACUUUUACGCUGCGUACACUCAAAUUCCAAAUUGAAUCUGGGGGAAGGAAGGUGAAUGAGAAGAGGACGGAAUUUUCUGAUUGAUUACCAAGUCCAGGGAACAACGCUGAAGGAUUAGCCUGUGUAGCACAGUAGCAGCCUCUUAUCUGCGGGCGGUGUAGCUUUAUACAAGACGGCUGAUUCCGAUAAGCUUUAGAAAAUUUCUAUAAAUACUUGGAAAUUUACAGGACUAAAGGCUUUUAAAAGUAUAGAAUAUUAGUUAGUUAGUUAGUUAGUUAAAGAUGGAAUAUUAGUUAUAUCUGUUUGUUCCAAGUCGUUGACAAGUCUGGAACAAGUUGUUAUCAUCUUCUAACAAGGUUGGUGACUGAUGAGGCUAACAGACUCGAAACAAAUUGUUCCAACAAGUCUGAUAUAUCAUGAUAAUUUAUUUUCUGUGUUGGUGUAAUGUACUCAGGUGAAUAUUAUUAUUAUUAUUAUUAUUAUUAUACACAAUAUUUAGUUUAUUUACAUACAG